UGCAUUUUGAUGGAAGAGCUGGUGGCUGGUUUUGGCCUGACUGAACACAUCUGGAAGUGGGGCCACCUGUACAGGUACUGUGAGGGCAUCAGCUCUUCGAUUACCCUCAGCGAUGAACCCUGGCAGGCCCAGGGACUUCCAAGGUGGCAUCCUCUGAACCUUGUCUUCACGGAGCUCAAACCCUGCAACAACCAAAGAAUUGAUUGUUAGGUUAAGCGUGUGGCAAUCUCCAUAAGGAUUCCCUGCCGCACUCCCGUAUCCUGUACUUGAAGGUCCACUGCCCUGCAAAGUCGCUCAACGAACUAUGAACUUAAGGAAAGAUUCAGAGGGAAACUGAGUUAUAGACAGGGUCUGGUGAUGUCCUCAGACCUUGCACUGGCCACCAAACUGCCGCUGUGUCCACCCUGGA